rnacentral:rRNA from 1 species
GACGAACGCUGGCGGCGUGCCUAAUACAUGCAAGUAGAACGCUGAAGGAGGAGCUUGCUUCUCUGGAUGAGUUGCGAACGGGUGAGUAACGCGUAGGUAACCUGCCUGGUAGCGGGGGAUAACUAUUGGAAACGAUAGCUAAUACCGCAUAAGAGUAGAUGUUGCAUGACAUUUGCUUAAAAGGUGCAAUUGCAUCACUACCAGAUGGACCUGCGUUGUAUUAGCUAGUUGGUGAGGUAACGGCUCACCAAGGCGACGAUACAUAGCCGACCUGAGAGGGUGAUCGGCCACACUGAGACUGAGACACGGCCCAGACUCCUACGGGAGGCAGCAGUAGGGAAUCUUCGGCAAUGGACGGAAGUCUGACCGAGCAACGCCGCGUGAGUGAAGAAGGUUUUCGGAUCGUAAAGCUCUGUUGUAAGAGAAGAACGAGUGUGAGAGUGGAAAGUUCACACUGUGACGGUAUCUUACCAGAAAGGGACGGCUAACUACGUG